rnacentral:rRNA from 1 species
UACGUAGGGUGCAAGCGUUAAUCGGAAUUACUGGGCGUAAAGCGUGCGCAGGCGGUUUUUUAAGACAGAUGUGAAAUGCCCGGGCUUAACCUGGGAACUGCAUUUGUGACUGGAAGGCUAGAAUCUGGCAGAGGGGGGUAGAAUUCCACGUGUAGCAGUGAAAUGCGUAGAGAUGUGGAGGAACACCGAUGGCGAAGGCAGCCCCCUGGGAUAAUAUUGACGCUCAUGCACGAAAGCGUGGGGAGCAAACAGG